rnacentral:piRNA from 1 species
UGGUCGGACUGUUAGCCAUUCCCUGCAG